rnacentral:rRNA from 1 species
GACGGGGGGGGCAAGUGUUCUUCGGAAUGACUGGGCGUAAAGGGCACGUAGGCGGUGAAUCGGGUUGAAAGUGAAAGUCGCCAAAAAGUGGCGGAAUGCUCUCGAAACCAACUCACUUGAGUGAGACAGAGGAGAGUGGAAUUUCGUGUGUAGGGGUGAAAUCCGUAGAUCUACGAAGGAACGCCAAAAGCGAAGGCAGCUCUCUGGGUCCCUACCGACGCUGGGGUGCGGAAGCAUGGGGAGCGAAC